CCCUUAGAUGUUCUGGGCCGCACGCGCGCUGCACUGAUUCAUGCAACAAGUUUUGUCCUUGGCUGAUAGGCCUGGGUAAUCUUUGAACGUGAAUCGUGAUGGGGAUAGAUGAUUGCAAUUAUUCAUCUUCAACGAGGAAUUCCUAGUAAACGCAAGUCAUCAGCUUGCAUUGAUUACGUCCCUGCCCUUUGUACACACCGCCCGUCGCACCUACCGAUUGAAUGGUCCGGUGAAAUCUUCGGAUCUGAGAGAUGUCUGAUUAAUUUCGGACGCCUUUUGGAAAAGUUGUUUAAACCUUACCAUUUAGAGGAAGGUGAAGUCGUANCA
rnacentral:rRNA from 1 species